rnacentral:misc_RNA from 1 species
GAUGAAGAACGCAGCGAAAUGCGAUAAGUAAUGUGAAUUGCAGAAUUCAGUGAAUCAUCGAAUCUUUGAACGCACCUUGCGCCCUUUGGCCAUUCCGAAGGGCAUGCCUGUUUGAGUAUCAUGAACACCUCAACUCUUUAUGGUUUUCCAUGAUGAGCUUGGACUCUGGGGGUUUUGCUGGCUCACAGUCGGCUCCUCUAAAAUGAAUCAGCUUACCAGUGUUUGGUGGGUAUCAUGGGUGUGAUAACUAUCUACGCUUGUGGUUUAUCCACCAGGUAACCUUCAGCAGUGGAGGUUCGCUGGAGCUCAUAGAUGUCUCUCCUCAGUGAGGACAGCCCUUUGAAUGUUUGAUCUCAAAUCAGGUAGGACUACCCGCUGAACUUAAGCAUAUCAAUAAGCGGAGGA